CUUCGUUCGUCUUGCACGUGUCUGCAACAGUAUUAAAGUUUCGAAGCACUUUGAAACUUCUAUCGAUGGCUGUGAUUGGCCGUCCCAUGUUGGCGUCCUAUCAUUUCGACCAAUCAGACACGUCGUUGGGUGAGCGAGUGCCUUGAUUUUUGACGCAGUACAGCAUUCCUCUUCGAAGCUUCGUUCGUCUUGCACGUGUCUGCAACAGUAUUAAAGUUUCGAAGCACUUUGAAACUUCUAUCGAUGGCUGUGAUUGGCCGUCCCAUGUUGGCGUCCUCUCAUUUCGACCAAUCAGACACGUCGUUGGGUGAGCGAGUGCCUUGAUUUUUGACGCAGUACAGCAUUCCUCUUCGAAGCUUCGUUCGUCUUGCACGUGUCUGCAACAGAUCUGUUCGUAUACUUCGUUAGGUAUCGGCCGGUAGCAGAAUGUACCGAACAUUGCCGAGCUUUGCCGAAGUGCCGACCGGUCUACGAUGGGAAGGAAGGUCUCGCCAUUGCUCUCUCGAGCGUCGAACUGGCAGGAGGUGUUGAGAGCAUGCUUCCGCAUAAAUAAUAGAUAUUUGAUAGAUUUUGAAAGGACGCCUCGACUCCUGAUAUGGGUUUGAAAUAGAAUGUCGUAAGAAUUUAAUAUUUUAAUUUAUUCUAAUCAAUUUUAACAACAGAAAACCACUACUUUAAUAAAAUUGUCUAUUAUAUUUAUUUAAUUAUGAUUUUCUAUCUAUAUAAUAUUCAUUGAAAUAAUUAUCAACAAUUAUUUAAAACAUUUCAUUAUUACAAUAUAAUCUAGGAUCAAUAUUCAACUUGAAUAAUAUUCCUGUUGGUUGAAAAUAUUUCACGAACACUCAUAUUUUCAUUUACAUGUAAUAACAGUAUUUCAUUAUCGAACGUUCAAUAAGAAGAAUGUUGGUUUUGUUUUGUAUAUUUCCACCCAUCCCCAACCUCCUCGCCAAUCUUUUUUUCCAGGAAUUGUUGUGGCCGCGCGCAAGGCGGUCGGUAGAGUCAGUGUUUGUACGCACGUAAUUCCAAUGUUUUGAUUUUGCCAAGGGUGAACUGGCCCUGAAUAGAGUUGCGUUU